rnacentral:lncRNA from 1 species
CAACUAUGGGUUAACUGUGUAACUAUGCUUGCUGAGAAAGAUACAUUGUAACCAGUCACUACUGUAAUACAAACUCACUAGAGCAAAGCAAUCCCAGAAAGCCCUGCCAAACUUCCUGCUCCCACCUUCACUGCCCCUUUGCCUAUGUAAUUGUGUUUAGAUUGAUGGCUGUUUUCCCAGUGAUUACGGUUGCUGUUUCCCCCUCCCAUAGAAACAUAAAGGUAUAAAAACGAGAGUAAACUUCUGUUUGACAUUUUUGAGGUGAUCUGAAUCCCUUGAAGCUGCCAGCGAUAAAGCUGAUUUUUGCUCCUACUUAUGUGGUCAGUGGUCUGUCCGGAGACCCUCAAGCGGUCACACUUCACUUCUAAGGGUCAUUUAAAUUUUAGAAAUAUCACUAGGCAGCUGGGUGGAAGAUAGAUGGAAGGAGAAGAUAUUGCAGUGCAGAUGGUACCAGCAGUUGAUUACAACAAUCAGAGAAGGAACGGCAUUUCAAUCCAAUUCAACAAAUCCUGUGAUCCUACUGGAUGCACAGUACAGGAGCAGGAAGAUGAGUUUGACAUAGUUUGUUUCCAGAGGUUAUUAACAUAAAGGUAGGAAAAAACGAUGAAAAUUGGGCUUAUUGUAAGGAUAAUAAUAGUUACCACUUCUAAUGCCUACUAUGUUCUUUUAAAAAAAUCAGUAUACAGCAGUAUGGUAAGAUCAUGAACACAGAGGGCAAUU